CGCUUGGCGCUGCGACGGGGUUCGGAUGGGCUGCUGAUUAAGCACGUUCGUUCGCUCCCCGUGUUUCUUGUUUUGCUUGACGUACGUGGCUCAUGGAUGGGGAUCUGAAAACGAAAAGUUUGGAGCGUUGGGGGCAAAGAUUGGGACGCCUUUGGAGCUUUAGGGGCAACUUCCCAUGCGCGGCGCGUGUGGUUGGAACGCAGGCGUUCAGAUCAGAUCUGGCCUACGUGUACGGCAAUCGGGUCUCUGCGGGGAUAUGGCCGGAUAAUGUUUGCCCUCAAUUUCACAGGCGUGUUCGUGCUUGGGUACUAUACUACUACACGAGGAUCCAGGAGUAACGUGUACCAUGUGUAACGUGUAGCGAGUAGCAUAUUUUUCCAAGGGCCACGUUGUGCCGAAAAUGCAAAUUUGCCAACUGGCAUUGUUUGGCUAUGGUGUUAAAUUUGGCAUUUCUCCUCAAUAUGUAUGGUGCCAAAUCUCCCUCACAAGUAGAACCCAUAACAAAUUAAAUAAACAAGAUUUCCUUCCUUAUCCUUCCUAGCUGCAUGGAGGAAUCUCUUCUGCAUUCAACCACGAACAGCUCAACACCAUCUUCUCUUUUCUGUCGAUUAAUUAUUGUUUUGUAAGACUUAAAUAUGACUGUGUUGUAUGCCUGGUUUCAUCAUGAAUGGAACUGGGGCGUGGUGCUCCUGUCGAACUAAAAAAGCACCAUAUUCUCUAAUCCCCAUCUCUAGACUUACAAAAAAAUAAUAAAUCCAGAACUCCAGCUGAACUCAGAAGUUGUAACAUUCCAAAAUUUCAAACCCUUUCAUAUGCAUUGCAUCCAUGAGCCUCAUGCCACAAUUGCAUAUUUGAAUUCAAAUUUGAAUCUCAAAAGGCUUUAAAAAGAUUUUAUUUCAUUUUAAACCCUAGGGUUUCACCCAUUUGAGCUUUGGUUCUUAAAACCAAUAAGGUUUAUCUAUAAAUGGGGUUUAUUGCAUAAAUGAGCUAUCCCAUAAUUUUUAAGAUUUUAUUUGGAGUUGAAAAAUUAUUUUAUUUAAAUAGUUAUAUAGCCCUAAAGGCAUUUAUAGGCCAAAUGUAAUUUUAUAUAUUUUAUUUUGAUGGGAAAUUACUCCCAAAAGUUGAAUCAUGAUAAAACAUGAUUUUACAAUUUUUCUGAAAUUUAUUUGGAUCAAUUUGGAGCUCAAAACAAAAAAAAAGAUAUCAAAGAAAUCAGAAAAAGAAAAAGAGAAAAGGCUAAAAGAAAAAUAAAAGGGGAGAAACGGACCGGCCCGGCCGAAUUGGGCCGAACCGGCCCAUUCCCCCGAGCCCGCCCAGCCAGCCCAGCAGCGCCCGCGCUCGCGCCUGUUGCUGACAGGUCGACCCACCUGUUAGGCGCUUUGUCCCCGAAGAAGGCGUCGGCAAUCACGCCCGCGCGCCAUCGCCGCUCCCCGUUGAUUCCGGCCUUCCCGAAGCCUCCCGCCCGCGUCAGUAUAAAGCCCACGCUCUCCCCUCUCUUUUCCCCCUUCUCGCCGUCUCUAUUGCGCCCCCGGGCCGACGAAAUUUCUCGCCGGAACCGUAGAGCCGCCGCCGCCUUCGCUUGGUCG
rnacentral:lncRNA from 1 species